UGCUCUCUGCCCUGCAAGUGAGGUCAGUACGCCCUUGCGGAAUACAUAUUAACCCGGGGUUUCUUCAGGAGCGCGGUGUGCCAGCCCAAGAAUUUAUUGGGACGCCUGAUGCGAUUCACAGGAGACCCCACUUAGUUAGAACUCGCAAGAGGUCUAAAGACCCACGGCAGGUGUGGAGAGCUG
rfam:Desulfuromonadales bacterium C00003096 3datasets_contig_16119, whole genome shotgun sequence.